UAUUAUUAAAACGAAAAAUACCGAAAAACAAAUCUAUUUUUGAAACAAUAAAAUUAUUUCUCAUGUCCGAAUGAAUUGGUCCACUUUCUGAGAAGUGUUUAAAAGCCGCCCUAACUCCAUUUUGUUUAACUGCAAGGAACGGUCGUUGUGGGAAAUCAUUAGAAAUAUGUUUAUACAUUACAUUAUGGAAAUUCCGGCAGCUUUCGGAUCGUUUUAAUAUUACUAAGGGAGCUGCCCAUUAUCUUUUCAACAAAACAAUUAAAGCAAUAUAUAAAUUGAAAAUCGAAAUAAAAUGGCCAUCUCUUGAAGAGCAACAAACAAAUAUGACUGAGUUCGAAAACAGCAGAGAAACCCCGAUUCCCUUUGUAAUUGGUUGCUUAGAUGGAACACACUUUAAUGUAUCUUUCAGCUACUAUGACCGGGAAGGGAAAUAGCCCGUUCAAAUGCAGGCCAUAAGUGAUAGCCGAUUCCGUUUUUUGGAUGUGUUUAUUGGCUAUCCAGGAAACUGCCACGAUGCUAAUGUCUGGAGACGGAGCCCAAUAUUUAAUGGCAUAACAUCCGGCAAACAACAGCUAACACCAAGUGCAAUAAUAUUGGGUGACUCCGCAUACCCUCUUUCAAAAUCCCUGAUGGUUCCUGAUGUGAUACUAACUUGUGCUAUUUUAUACAAUUUCAUUUUAACGAAAGGUGGCUGAAUGGGUUGG